AAUAUAAUACGUUUGUUAAUAUUUCCGUGUUUCAAUGGUUUUCCCCGAAAUAUCAACAUGGUAGCAGAGCGUAGUUGAUGGAAACCAUUGAAAAUAACAUAAAUAAGGAAAUUCCGAACACGGCGUAUUCUGAUACGUUUUUUCACCGACGUACAUCAAUUGUUUUUUCAACGUAACGGUCUGCUCGGUGCUGAAUUCACAAUAAUCACGAAGAAAAUGUCCAAUCCGGGCCACAAUCCGUUUCAUAUAGACAGACUUGUCGGAAGAGACAAUUAUGCGAGUUGGAAAUUCGCAGUGGAAGCAUAUUUUCGUCUUGAAGAUUUGUGGAGUUGUGUUGAAGGAACCAAUACUGAUGCCAAGAGGGAAAUCAAGGCGAAAUCGAAGCUUAUUUUACUGCUAGAUCCUAUCAAUUACGUACAUGUACAGAGUGCAACUACAUGUAAAGAAGUCUGGGACAGUUUGCAGCAGGCUUUCGAUGACAGUGGAUUGUACAGAAAAGUCGCCUUGCUGAGAGACCUCAUCACAACUACAUUGGACAGUUCUCGUAAUGUGGAUGAUUAUGUGAAUAAGAUAAUGUCGACUGCACACAAGCUCAGGAACAUAAAAUUCGACAUUAAUGAUGAAUGGCUUGGAACGCUGAUGCUGGCUGGCUUACCUGAAGCUUAUAAGCCAAUGAUCAUGGGAUUGGAGAGCUCCGGGAUCACGAUCAGCGCAGAUUCCAUCAAGACAAAACUCCUGCAGGAAGUUCAAUGCUCAGAUAGCACAGCAUUCUUCACAAGGAAGACAGCCGUUCACAGGAAUGACAGCACAGGAAAGAUGUACACACAAAAAGGACCCCGUUGUUACAACUGUAACAAGCAUGGACACUUUGCCAGGAACUGCCGUGCUCCGAAGAAGAUUACUGAAAAGGUUGAUGAAAAUAAAGGCUUUGUUGCAGCAUUUUCAGCAUGUUCACAGACAAUGAAUCCGGACCUGUGGUAUGUGGACUCAGGUGCCUCAAUGCACAUGACCAACAAACGAGAAUGGAUGUAUGAUGUCACAAGUCCACCAAUACCCACCAUAACUGUGGCCAGUAACACACCGCUACCUGUAGAAAGUAUGGGAAAGGUCAAUUUAUUUAUAAAUGGUAAUGAACAGAAGAUUCAGGUAAGGGAUGUCCUUUACAUACCUAAACUUGCUGCAAAUCUCCUUUCAGUAAGUGCCAUGGUAAACAAUGGCUGUAAAGUAAAUUUUAGUAAAGAAGGUUGUGAUAUUUAUGAUAAAAAUGAUAAUCUCAUCUGCUCAGCCACACUAGUGAAUAAAUUGUAUCAGUUGAACACUCACAGAGAGGUAUUUUCUAACUUAUGUUCAGAUAAUUUAAAUGAUGUUGUCCUAUGGCACAGGCGCAUGGGACACCUGAAUUUUUCAGAUCUCAACAAGUUACCGGAGUGCGCAGAGGGAGUAGAUGCAUUUCCCAACAAGAGUAAAGCUUCACUGACAUGUACCACCUGCCUCGAAGGUAAACAAUGCAGAUUGCCUUUCAACAACAUCGGUUCCAGAGCUUCACGCCCGCUGCAACUUAUCCAUACUGACUUGUGUGGACCGAUGGAACAUACAUCACUGGGAGAGAUCCUGAAGUGCAGCUGAAUGAAGAACCCUGCAAUGAAGAACCACAAACCAGUUUAGACCAGUCAAGCGAUGAAUACCUGUCAGGUGACAAUGAUGAUCCAUCCUACAUACCAGAGGAAUCAGUUGACAUUUCCUCUCCAGCACGUGAAAUAAACUUACGUCCACGCAGAGCUGUCAGGUAUGCAGAAAGGGAUGAUCAUGAUGUGAGUUAUUUUUGUCCAGUUAUUAAUUUGGGUGACCCGCUUACUGUUGAAGAAGCUCUCUCGUCUCCUCAUGCUGAAGAGUGGAAGAAGGCCAUGAAUGAGGAAUACGAUUCUCUAAUAAAGAACGGGACUUGGUCACUGGUGGAUUUGCCACCAGGCAAGAGAGCUUUACCAAGUAAAUGGGUCUUCAAAACCAAGACAAAUAAGAAAGGUGAGAUAGUUCGUUAUAAGGCAAGAUUGGUAAUUAAGGGGUGUGCACAAAGAAAAGGAAUUGACUAUGACGAGGUCUAUGCUCCAGUGGUAAGAUACACGUCGGUCCGCUACUUACUUGCUCUAGCUGCUAAAUACGACCUAGAAAUGAUUCAGAUGGAUGCUAUAUGCGCAUUUCUUCAGGGCGACAUAGACACAGAAAUGUAUAUGUCCCAACCAGAAUGCUAUGAAAGCAGUGAUCAGGUAUGUCACUUACAUAAAUCAAUCUAUGGGCUCAAGCAGGCUAGUCGGCAGUGGAACCUGAAACUGAAUAGUGCUAUACUAAAAAUCGGAUUGGAGAGAUCAAAAAUAGAUCCGUGCAUUUAUUAUUCUGUAAAUGAAUCUAAAAUGAUUUUUAUUGCAGUUUGGGUGGAUGAUCUCAUGAUUUUUGCGAAUGACAAGAUUGUUGCCACAGAUAUCAAAACAAAACUGGAGGAAGAAUUUUGUAUGAAAGAUAUGGGUGAGAUACAGCAGUGCAUUGGCAUAAAUGUUAACAGAUGUCGUGAGGCAGGUGAGAUCAUGUUGGACCAAGAGAAAUAUAUAAACCAGGUAUUGGAACGAUUUGGCAUGUCUGAGUGCAAACCAGUGCGCACUCCAAUAGAAGUGAAUAUGAAAUUUGAUAAGAAACCUGAAAAUGAAGAUAGUAAUUUCCCAUACAGGGAAGCGGUGGGUUGUCUGAUGUACUUAUCACAAGUGACACGGCCUGACAUUAUGUAUGCUGUGAACAAAUUGAGUCAGUUCUGUAAUGAACCAGGGAUUCAACACUGGCUUGGAGUUAAAAGGGUUAUGAGAUACCUACAGGGGACCAAAAGCUUGAAGCUAUGUUAUGUCAAAGAUGACUCCAUGGAAAUAACCGGGUAUUGCGACGCAGACUGGGCUAGUGACCCACAUAAUAGAAGAUCAUGCUCUGGUUAUUCUUUUAUUUUUCAGAAUGCUUGCAUAUCUUGGAACUCGUGUAAGCAGCAGACUGUGGCGCUCUCGACUGCAGAGGCUGAAUAUAUGGCGAUGGCUUCGGCGACCCAGGAGGCGUUGUGGCUUCGGCAACUGCAAGCUGAGCUCGGCCAAGGAGUGGACACUGCGUUACUAAUCUAUAGUGAUAACCAAAGUGCAAUAAGACUAGCUUCAAAUGAAUGUUAUAAACCUAAAACUAAACACAUAGAUAUAAAGUUGCAUUUCCUGAGAGAGAAUGUUGUUGAUUGUAAAGUUAAAUUUCUAUUUGUUAAUGGUAGUUACAUGGUAGCUGACAAUUUAACCAAGGGUGUAACGCUUGCUAAGCAUUUGUAUUGUAUUAAUGAAAUGGGUUUGCGUUCUAGAGGGAGUGUUGGUAAAUGAGAACGCAAUCGAUUAGUUUAUUAAGGUUGGCUUUAUUGUUUAGUUUAAACGUUUCAUGUUGGCAGCACUUUUUUCUCUCUCUCGCCAUCUUUCUUCCUGUAAACUUGUGAAGUCUCGAAUAUAAUACGUUUGUUAAUA